AUUGAACGCUGGCGGCAGGCUUAACACAUGCAAGUCGAGCGGGGGAAGGUAGCUUGCUACCGGACCUAGCGGCGGACGGGCGAGUAAUGCUUAGGAAUCUGCCUAUUAGUGGGGGACAACAUCUCGAAAGGGAUGCUAAUACCGCAUACGUCCUACGGGAGAAAGCAGGGGAUCUUCGGACCUUGCGCUAAUAGAUGAGCCUAAGUCGGAUUAGCUAGUUGGUGGGGUAAAGGCCUACCAAGGCGACGAUCUGUAGCGGGUCUGAGAGGAUGAUCCGCCACACUGGGACUGGGACACGGCCCAGACUCCUACGGGAGGCAGCAGUGGGGAAUAUUGGACAAUGGGGGGAACCCUGAUCCAGCCAUGCCGCGUGUGUGAAGAAGGCCUUAUGGUUGUAAAGCACUUUAAGCGAGGAGGAGGCUACUUUAGUUAAUACCUAGAGAUAGUGGACGUUACUCGCAGAAUAAGCACCGGCUAACUCUGUGCCAGCAGCCGCCGCAGUAA
rnacentral:rRNA from 1 species